rnacentral:siRNA from 1 species
UGUCCCUGUCUACUAUCCAGC